UACCUUUAGGUGGGUCAAAUACUGAAAUCAAACAAUGCACAAAUUAGCAUAUCCCCAGUGCAAGGAUGACAGGCAAAUUCACAGAGCAUUUCUUUCCACAUUUUU
ensembl:snRNA U6 U6 spliceosomal RNA